rnacentral:rRNA from 1 species
CAGCCGCCGCGGUAAUACCGGCGGCCCGAGUGGCGGUCACUAUUAUUGGGCUUAAAGCGUCCGUAGCCGGGUUGGGAAGUCCUCCGGGAAAUCUGGCCGCUUAACGGUCAGAAUGCCGGAGGAUACUCCCAGCCUAGGGAGCGGGAGAGGCCGAGGGGAUUCCCGGAGUAGGGGGGAAAUCCUAUAAUCCCGGGAGGACCACCUGUGGCGAAGGCGCUCGGCUGGAACGCGUCCGACGGUGAGGGACGAAGGCCAGGGGAGCAAACCGGAUUAGAUACCCGGGUAGUCCUGGCGGUAAACGAUGCGGACUUUGUGUCGGACAAGCUAUGAGCUUGUCCGGUGCCGGAGGGAAACCGUUAAGUCCGCCGCCUGGGGAGUACGGCCGCAAGGUUGAAACUUAAAGGAAUUGGCGGG